CUUCCAUAAUAAUUGUGCACAGAUAUUAUGACCUAUUGGAAUUAAAGAAGCCUAUUUUCACGUUAAUUCCAAGAAACCCAUUUUUCAACUUCAAACUGAUCUCCCAAAUCCUCCCAAAAUCUGAUUUCACGUUUAGUCAUUUUCCAAGAAACCCAUUUUACAGCUUCAAACUUAUCUCCCAAAUUCUCCCAAAAUCAGAUUUAUCAUAAAAUUCUUAAUCAAUUUAAUCUCUAUCAAGCUCCCGCGAAAUUAGGAUAUACUGCUGCAAUGGAAUUACAUAAGAAGUCGAAAGAUGAAUUAGUAAGGUCUCCUUCAAAAAGAAAAGUAGGGUCAAGGUGAAAGCGAUUGAAAAAAAUUGUUACAAGAGGAUGAAAGUAAAAAAUGUAGUUACCGACAUGAUUGGAGAACAUGCAGUUAAUGAAGAACAAGACGAAGUCAGUGAAGAAUUAAAGGUUUAUGUGAACCAUAACAUAGUCACAGAUUUGAAGGGAAAACUUACAGCGACCCAAUUCAAUCAAUUUAAAGAUACAUGUUUUGGAGCAUGUUUUGUGUUGCAAAUGUUCAAAGCGCCAUACGUGAUUACAUAAAAGGAUAUAGGUUGAUGGUUGUCAUUCCAUAGAAUACAAUCGACAAUGUGUUCAUACCAGUGAACGUGGAGCAUAAAAAUCACUGGGUGUUGGCUGUUUUGUGAUUAAUUGACAAACACAUUUAUGUAUAUGAAUCAUACAGAGCAGCAGGUCAUAACUAUCACGUUACAGAAGAAAUUCAAAAGUUUGCUCAGCUUCUGCCAAUGAAUGUUUCAAUGGAGAUUGGAAAUAAUUCGGAUGAUGCAGAAGAUAACCACAUCGCAUACGAAGUGACGUAUGUGAAGGAUAUACCUCAACAAGGAUCAAGAUUUUUUGGAUUGCGGAAUAUACUUGCUAGCAUUUGCCGAGUACCUAAGUGAGGGUGAAGGUAUUCCAGUUCAAUACCUUGAUUCUAAGUUAUACCGCAUCAGAUACGGUGCACUCUUGUGGGAAUAUGCAAUGAAAAAGAUGAAAGACGGGGCUGAUAGCGAUAAUGAGGCACCGCCAAGAAGAACGAGGACACCCGCAAGGUCGAUAAUAGUCAACUUGUUCUGAUUGAUUAGUAUUUUGUACUAGUUCUAUUUUUUGAACUUAUGGUUAAAAUUAAUAUUUUGAUUUUUUGUCAAACAUUAUCAACUUUUCUUUAUAUUCAUAUAUGAUCACAUUAGUUGUUUUAAAUUUAUUUCUGUGUUAUUUCAUAAUUAAUGAGAUGAUCAUGACUUGCCAUGA